GAUGAACGCUGGCGGCGUGCUUAACACAUGCAAGUCGAACGAAGCACUUUAUUUGAUUUCCUUCGGGACUGAUUAUUUUGUGACUGAGUGGCGGACGGGUGAGUAACGCGUGGGUAACCUGCCUUGUACAGGGGGAUAACAGUUGGAAACGGCUGCUAAUACCGCAUAAGCGCACAGCAUCGCAUGAUGCAGUGUGAAAAACUCCGGUGGUAUAAGAUGGACACGCGUUGGUUGAGAUAGUUGGGGAGGUAACGGGCCACCAAGGCGACGAUCCAUAGCCGACCUGAGAGGGUGACCGGCCACAUUUGGACGAAGACACGGCCCAAACUCCUACGGGAGGCGGCAGUGGGGAAUAUUGCACAAUGGGCGAAAGCCUGAUGCAGCGACGCCGCGUGAGCGAAGAAGUAUGUCGGGAUGUAAAGCUCUAUCAGCAGGGAAGAUAAUGACGGUACCUGACUAAGAAGCACCGGCUAAAUACGUG
rnacentral:rRNA from 1 species